rnacentral:lncRNA from 1 species
UUCCCACUUUCUCCCCAUUUCCAUUACAGCUUUUAUGGAAAAAGUUGAAUUAAGUGCUGCAGAAAACACUGAUGGUCAUCCAGAGAAAAAUCCUAAUGUGAAGGUAGUAACCUUGAUACUUUUCAUUUAUUUUCUGAUAUGUAUUGAAAGAAAACUUUCUAUGCAACUUUUUUUUAUUGAAUUAUUUUGUUUCAUAGCCUAGUCAAUGCGGUCUUCCAAUGAAAGAUCCUUCCACAAGCCAAGAAUCAGAGAAAGUAGUCAAGCCAAAACGAAAAUUAGCUUUUAUGGAAAAAGUUGAUUUAAGUGCUGCAGAAGACACUGAUGGUGAUGUUUUUUUUUUUAUUCUCUAUAUUUACAACUAUGAGGAUAAGUGAAUUUUUCACAAAAUCACACCUAAUAGAAGAUGUAUCUUGUAGUCUUCAGGUUUAUUUUUUUAAUUUUGUGUUUUGAACACAUAAUUUCAAACUACAUUUUUGUACUCCUUGGCUCUUUUCUUCAUGAAGUCACAUGAAAUCAAUGUGAAUUCCAUGUUGGGCCAAUAUUACUUUCUUCUUUUAUGUCCAGUGUUAACAGUUAAUAUUAAUUAGUCACUCAGGAAAAAUGCCAUCUAAGAAUUAUAUAAUAUUGAAUAGGAUUCUACAAGUCCUAUAUUGGCAACUAAUAAACCUAUUUAUUUUGCAUGAUAUUGUAAUUAAAUUUUGUUGUUUAAUUAUCAUUGAUGAUAAAACUUUUGUCCUUUUCUUAGAUCAUCCAGGGAAAAAUCGUAAUGUGAAGCCUAAUCAAUGUGGUCUUCCAAUGAAAGAUUUUUCCACAAGGCAAGAAUUAGAGAAAAAUGUCAAGUCAAAACG